GGCCAGACUCCUACGGGAGGCAGCAGUGGGGGAUAUUGCACAAUGGGGGAAACCCUGAUGCAGCGACGCCGCGUGAGUGAAGAAGUAAUUCGUUACGUAAAGCUCUAUCAGCAGGGAAGAAAAUGACGGUACCUGACUAAGAAGCCCCGGCUAACUACGUGCCAGCAGCCGCGGUAAUACGUAGGGGGCAAGCGUUAUCCGGAUUUACUGGGUGGAAAGGGGGCGCAGACGGCAGCGCAAGCCAGGAGUGAAAGCCCGGGGCCCAACCCCGGGACUGCUCUUGGAACUGCGCGGCUGGAGUGCAGGAGGGGCAGGCGGAAUUCCUGGUGUAGCGGUGAAAUGCGUAGAUAUUAGGAGGAGCACCGGUGGCGAAGGCGGCCUGCUGGACUGCGACUGACGUUGAGGCCCGAAAGCGUGGGGAGCAAACAGGAUUAGAUACCCGAGUAAUA
rnacentral:rRNA from 1 species